GGUGAGAUGGCUCAGUGGGUAAGAGCACCCGACUGCUCUUCCGAAGAUCCUGAGUUCAAAUCCCAGCAACCA
rnacentral:tRNA from 1 species